AACCAAGCCCCUGUCUACCUCAUCAUCAUCAUUCGGUCCUCAGUCACUUCAGUACUUUUCACCAUCUGACUCAUCGAGGCUCUUCAUGCUGUAAAGCAGUUCGACUUCUCCAGGAAACAGAGUCAGGCAGAGCUUAGAGUUCCGGAUGUUUAUCAGGGAGUGGUGCUUGAGUCAACACCCGUGCAAAGGACCGGGCUGAGGCAGAAUUGGGAAGAGGGAGAAAUCCAGCUGAGAUGCAAGCCAGACAGUGCCAGCCAACAGCACAGGGUGCUCAGAAACUUGAAACAGAACACAGAGGAGUUGACAAUUCAGCAGUACUGAUCUACUUGUAGCUUACAGACCCUCUGAGUGGUCAUGCUGAUCCAGAUCCAGUGCUUGAGUUGGUCCACCCCAACAUCUACUCCAUCUAAGAGCUGCUGGAACCGGUGGAGGAGCUGGUGAUACAAAACCAGAUUCAGGAACAAGUCAUCUACACUGAGGAUUAAAACCUGAAGCGUGGCUGUGAUGGAGGCUAGCACCUGCCACUGUGGAGCAGCCCCGAGGAGCCUAAAAGAUCCAUGCAGUUUCCGAGGGGAGACAAAGCACUAGCAGAGGAGUCUGCAGAGAUGACAGUGUCCAUGGGAAGAUGCUUUUUAAAAGUAGACUUGUGAAAUUGGAAGGAAAGAUGGCAGAACAGAGCCAGAUGCAUGGAAUAGAAUGGCCAAACUACAAAGGGCAAUGCCAUGGUCCAGGCUGUAGCCAGAGAGACAAUGAAUUUUUUUUUUUUUCAGUGUGGUAUUGAUGACUGCAAACUCACAUCUGAGAAUUAAAGACAUAGAAGGCUUUUGUGACAACCUCCAACAAAACAGUCUAGACAGUUAUUGAAGAGAACUCUUAAAAAAUGUGAUAAGGAUGCUGAAGAGUGGCUCUUCACAGUUCAUGGCUUCUGGUGGGGGUUGGGUAGGAGAAGGAAUCUGUUAUCUUCAAGGGGUUGGAUACUUGGAUUUUGACUGCAUCAGUAAAUAUAUUGGCAA